GAUGAACGCUGGCGGCGUGCCUAAUACAUGCAAGUCGAGCGAACAGAUGAGAAGCUUGCUUCUCUGAUGUUAGCGGCGGACGGGUGAGUAACACGUGGGUAACCUACCUAUAAGACUGGGAUAACUCCGGGAAACCGGGGCUAAUACCGGAUAAUAUUUUGAACCGCAUGGUUCAAUAGUGAAAGACGGUUUCGGCUGUCACUUAUAGAUGGACCCGCGCCGUAUUAGCUAGUUGGUAAGGUAACGGCUUACCAAGGCGACGAUACGUAGCCGACCUGAGAGGGUGAUCGGCCACACUGGAACUGAGACACGGUCCAGACUCCUACGGGAGGCAGCAGUAGGGAAUCUUCCGCAAUGGGCGAAAGCCUGACGGAGCAACGCCGCGUGAGUGAUGAAGGUCUUCGGAUCGUAAAACUCUGUUGUUAGGGAAGAACAAAUUUGUUAGUAACUGAACAAGUCUUGACGGUACCUAACCAGAAAGCCACGGCUAACUACGUGCCAGCCGCCGCCGUAA
rnacentral:rRNA from 1 species